UAAUACGUAGGGUGCAAGCGUUGUCCGGAAUUAUUGGGCGUAAAGAGCUCGUAGGUGGCGGGUCACGUCGGGUGUGAAAGCCCGGGGCUUAACCCCGGGUCUGCAUUCGAUACGGGCCUGCUAGGGUCCGGCAGGGGAGACUGGAAUUCCUGGUGUAGCGGUGAAAUGCGCAGAUAUCAGGAGGAACACCGGUGGCGAAGGCGGGUCUCUGGGCCGGUACCGACGCUGAGGAGCGAAAGCGUGGGGAGCGAACAGGAUUAGAUACCCUGGUAGUCCACGCCGUAAACGUUGGGCGCUAGGUGUGGGGGACAUUCCACGUCCUCUGUGCCGUAGCUAACGCAUUAAGCGCCCCGCCUGGGGAGUACGGCCGCAAGGCUA
rnacentral:rRNA from 1 species